rnacentral:tRNA from 1 species
CGGCUUCGUUGGCUUGAGCGCUCAGUUCAGGACGAAGAGGCCGCCGGUUCAAAUCCGGCCACCCGACCA